rnacentral:rRNA from 1 species
CUACGGGUUGCUCCAGUGAGGAAUAUUGCACAAUGGGGGGAACCCUGAUGCAGCAACGCCGCGUGGAGGAUGACGCAUUUCGGUGUGUAAACUCCUUUUAUAUGUCAAGGAAAUGACGGUAGCAUAUGAAUAAGCACCGGCUAACUCCGUGCCAGCAGCCGCGGUAAUACGGAGGGUGCAAGCGUUACUCGGAAUCACUGGGCGUAAAGGACGCGUAGGCGGGUUGGAAAGUCAGGUGUGAAAUCCUACAGCUUAACUGUAGAACUGCACUUGAAACUUCUAAUCUAGAGUAUGGGAGGGGGAGAUGGAAUUAGUGGUGUAGGGGUAAAAUCCGUAGAUAUCACUAGGAAUACCUAAAGCGAAGGCGAUCUCCUGGAACAUUACUGACGCUAAGGCGUGAAAGCGUGGGGAGCAAACAGGAUUAGAUACCCUCGUAGUC